CUGACUCAGAGGAUGCUGAGAGCAGCAAGAAAUCCCACCAGAAAUCCCCAAAUCACUCAGUUUUCCCCCAAAAAAUGACUGGGCCACACUUAAUUUCGGCUCAGCUGCAGGGCAGCAACUCCCUGACCCAAAAAAUGCCAGCCCGGGGUCAGCCCCGAGUUUGUCACUUCUCAGUUACCGCCGUGUCAUCUCUUAUUUUUGUUUGACUUGGAAGACAAACUACAAAAAUAGAUGUGUUUACUCGCAGCAUUCACCAGUUUUAUGUUUCUCAGGGAUGAGCAGUGCUGGGAAUGACUCCUCAGUGAGGUAAGGUCGAGCUUUUAGAUGAUCUUUUUUAUCCCAAAGCUCCCUAAAAAGGCACACAGCACAAGAAGAAGGGGCCAUUUGUGGGGUGAAAAGCAGCAGCCUGAGCUCUGAGCCCUGAAUUUUGGGAGAGCCCAGACCACUUGGAAAAGCCAAAUUUAAGAGAAUCUCCUUAGGACUGGGUUUCCUGAGGAAUUUCCACCGACGUAAGGAGCGGCUGCUUCCCCUCCAAGAGCCCUGGGAGCUCCCAGCCUCUCUCAGGAGCUCUGAGCUCCUCCAUUGGUCUGGGAGAGAGGAAAAAAACCAAAAUAAAAAUUUGGGGUGUUUUUUUGGUUGGUUUUUUUUGUUUAUUUUGUGGCUGUUUGGUGGAGGUUUUUUGUUUGUUUGGUUGGUUGGUUUUUGUUUGGUUUGUUGGUGUGAUUUAUGUGUGGUCUAUGUGUGGUUUAUGUGUGGUUUAUUUAUGGUUUAUGUGUGGUUUAUGUGAUUUAUAUGUGAUUAAUGUGUGAUUUAUGUGUGAUUUAUAUGAUUUAUGUGCUGUAUGUGUGAUGAUUUAUGUGAUUUAUGUAUGGUUUAUGUGUGAUUUGUAUGUGAUUUAUGAGUGAUUCAUGUGUGAUUUGUAUAAUUUAUGUGAUUUAUCUGUGAUUGAUGUGUGAUUUAUGUGAUUCAUGCGUGAUUUAUUUGUGAUGAUUUAUGUGUGAUCUAUGUGGGAUGAAGCUCUUUUCUGGCCCAGAGAUGGGGUAACUGAGGGUUUUGAGAACUUUUGUUCCAUUUUCAGGCUCAUGUGAAGGGUGAGACAAUGCAGAUGUUGUAACUCACAGCACCACAAUCAGAAGCCAGCCAUGCUUGGCCUUCUGUUAGGCUUUAAAAACUCUACAAAUUCAUUUACCACACUGACAGAUAAAGAAGCCCAGGGAAGUGGAGGGCUCUGCUGGGAACUGAUUUUUAAAAGUGUUAAGUUUUCUUUCAUAGUUCUUUUGAAACUUUUAAACUUCUUUUAAAGUUUUCUAUGCCUUCUGGUGUUUAUGUAUUUCUACUGCAGUUCUCACACUGUUCAUGCAAAUAAUGAUUGUUUUACAUUCUUCUUUGUGAGAGGAGAGAAUUGAUGAGCUGUUGGUUUGACCAGUGCGGUUGGAAAGGUGGGAAUGUCAUCCUCCAAUCCACUGUAACUUUUAGAAUUCUAUAUAUUGCGAGAUCAGAAAUAAAAUUAGUUUCUUUUUCUGUUUUGAACUUAACUAAGCUUCUGUGAAGUCAUUUUGUGUCUGAUAGCAACAGGGAAGUGCUCUGCCUGCCAUCCAUCCCCUCCUCCCUGCCAGCCUCACACCCUCCCACGUCAG
ensembl:lncRNA